UACGUAGGGGGCUAGCGUUGUCCGGAAUCAUUGGGCGUAAAGCGCGCGUAGGCGGCCAGAUAAGUCCGGUGUGAAAGUCACAGGCUCAACCUGUGAAUGCCGCUGGAAACUGUCUGGCUCGAGUCCGGGAGGGGCGAGUGGAAUUCCUGGUGUAGCCGGUGAAAUGCGCAGAUAUCAGGAGGAACACCAAUGGCGAAGCAGCUCGCUGGAACGUACUGACGCUGAGGCGCGAAAGCGUGGGGAGCGAACAGG
rnacentral:rRNA from 1 species